GAACGUGCGAAACGUAAUGUGAAUUGCAGAAUUCAGUGAAUCAUCGAAUCUUUGAACGCAUCUUGCGCUCCUUGGUAUUCCGAGGAGCAUGCCUGUUUGAGUGUCGUGAACUACUCUCGAUUUCAAACUUUUGGUUUGAAAUUGGAUUUGGGUGUUGUCGUGUCAAACGACUCAUCCUAAAUGCAUUAGCGAUCUGCCCUUGAUCACAUGUGAUGUGAUAAGAAAAAGCAUUACUAGAUCAAGUGGUUAGGUUGCUUCUAAUCGUCGAAAGACAAUGACAUGUCAUCUGACCUCAAAUCAGGUAGGACUACCCGCUGAACUUAA
rnacentral:rRNA from 1 species